AAUUAAAAAUACAUGUUUUAAGAGGGGAUCCUGUUCAUAUUAGCUUUGUGGUUGGCAAACAAGGAUCCUGCUCCAAUGUUGUCUUUUCACUGCUCAUCUGCUGCCCCACCUUGAGAACACACACAAGCCGAUCUGGCCUUUCCCAGUGAUGAAUGCUCUCCGCUGGCUAUUGACAAGCUUUAAUUGCUAGAGUAGGUGGGACCCAAAUACCUUUAUCUGAAAGCCCUCUCUAUCUGUUAGUAACUUAUAAUAAAUAAAAGUAUACGUAUGUAAUUUAUGAACUACAGUCUCAGACUCAGUAUUAUCGAACUUACAAACUGUUAUAAGCAAAGAACUACCAGAAUGGUGAGAAAACUUAUUCUGUAAGCUUGCCAAAAUAUUUACUUUUUCUGCCUUUUUAACAUGUACUUUAUGGGAUUGACUGAUGCUAAAGCAAGAGCAACAGAUAGUUUUGCCAGCUAGCCUCCAGAUAGAACCUUGAAGGAGAAUUCAGUUAAGUGGCCAGGGGCCCAGGAUCUCGUAGCAUUCUCCACCAAAGGCACCAUCUGCAAGCAGACUGGGCUACCAGCCUCACCCCAUCUAAUGCAUGCAGGGAAAGAGUAUCUUUCUAAUCACCUUGGUCAGCCUCCUAACUCGCAAACCUCCAGUUCCAUCAGGGGAGAAAACACGAAUAUAGCUUAUCGUAAUAAAAAACUCUCUGGUGCAUGUUUAGAUAAGGAUAUUAGGAACUAUUGGUCAUAUGAGUUUCUAAUUAGCUUAGUACAUGUGCUAGCUAACACCUCGAUAGUAUAUACUAAAGUUCAUUUGUGUGUGUGCACGCGCGUGCACGCGCGCGCGCACACACACACACACACACACACACACACACAAUGCUGCAAAUACUGACAAGUUUUACAAAAUGGCAAAAUUAAAAUUUCCUUGCAAUGGCCCUUUCCCCAGUCCCCAUCUGGACACCCCUUGAGGGCUGACGUGAGAAGUCACGGCAUCAACGCCUCAGCUGGUGUCCCUUUGAUGGAUGUAGCUCCUGGUAGAUCAUCCUUGUCCUCUCCUUUGGGGGGGUUCUCAUUUCACCCCAUCUUUUUCUUCCAGGCAUCUGUACACCACUCCAGCUGAUGCUGUAUUCAGAGGCUCAUUUUCUCUUUAUUUCCUCCAGAAAAGACUUGAAUGACCAAUCGGUAAAAGACUUGACUAACUAAACAGAAAAUUUCCAGGUUUUAAAGUCCUAAUCUCACCAUAGCUGAAGACAUCAUAUGCAGCCAAUGAUGAACCAAGACUUGGAACAAAACUCGUCAAUAUUUUUGAAUGCUAGAGUUCUGAGUAAACAGAUAACCGGGUUUAUUAUUCAGUAGUAGAGACAUCGUGUUACUAGAAUGGCUGAAGAAGUAUCCAAGGAGAGCCAGAUGCCUUCAUCAGUAGAGUCUUGGCACUGAAAUGUCAUUGUCACUGAUUUGUAUGUGACUGCUGUUACUUUGUGGACAUGAAAUAUGAA